UACGUAGGGGGCGAGCGUUGUUCGGAGUUACUGGGCGUAAAGCGUGCGUAGGCGGUGUCUUAAGUUUGUUGUGAAAUCUCCCGGCUUAACCGGGAGGGUGCGGCGAAUACUGAGAUGCUGGAGUGCCGGAGAGGUAAGCGGAAUUCCUGGUGUAGCGGUGAAAUGCGUAGAUAUCAGGAGGAACACCUGCGGUGUAGACGGCUUACUGGACGGUAACUGACGCUGAGGCACGAAAGCGUGGGUAGCAAACAGG
rnacentral:rRNA from 1 species